UGGGGAAUCUUGGACAAUGGGGGCAACCCUGAUCCAGCCAUGCCGCGUGAGUGAUGAAGGCCUUAGGGUCGUAAAGCUCUUUCGCCUGUGAAGAUAAUGACGGUAGCAGGUAAAGAAACCCCGGCUAACUCCGUGCCAGCAGCCGCGGUAAUACGGAGGGGGUUAGCGUUGUUCGGAAUUACUGGGCGUAAAGCGCACGUAGGCGGACCAGAAAGUUGGGGGUGAAAUCCCGGGGGCUCAACCCCGGAACUGCCUCCAAAACUAUUGGUCUAGAGUUCGAGAGAGGUGAGUGGAAUUCCAAGUGUAGAGGUGAAAUUCGUAGAUAUUUGGAGGAACACCAGUGGCGAAGGCGGCUCACUGGCUCGAUACUGACGCUGAGGUGCGAAAGUGUGGGGAGCAAACAGGAUUAGAUACCCUGGGUAGUCCACACCGUAAAACGAUGAAUGCCAGUCGUCGGGUAGCAUGCUAUUCGGUGACACACCUAACGGAUUAAGCAUUCCGCCUGGGGAGUACGGUCGCAAGAUU
rnacentral:rRNA from 1 species